rnacentral:rRNA from 1 species
CCAAAAACGGACCUUCCUUUAAAGACAUUUGUUAUUGUGCAUCCUUUAUAUGUUGUACUAUAUCAUGGAACUUAUUGUGUUUCCAGUUAAGAAAUUUUAUAAUCUAAGCAAUUAGGAAUAUGACACCAAUUAUAUUAACGACAUUUAAAGUGCCAGCAGUCGCGGUCAUACUUUAGUUAAAAAUAAAGAACAUUAGGAUAUUACAUGAAAUAGUUUAUAAUUCUCAUAGUAAAAUAUAGAUAAUAUACUAUAAUAUUUUAAUUUUAAUUAAUAUUGGUAACAAACAGGGAUUAGAUACCCCUCUAUGCAGUGCAUAACAAUUUAUCCUGGGCACUAUAAUUAACUGAUCGAAACCCAACUAACAUGGCGGUAGUUUAAACAUUUAGGGGAACUUACUAGAUAAAUGAUAACCACCAAGAUUAUGUACAUUAAGUUACAUUUUACAUACCGUCGUCGACAGACAUACUAAAAUAGAAUAUCAUAAUAUUUACUAAUAUAAAAGGACAGAUCAAGGUGUAGACUACCUUAAUGGCUACGCGAGUUACAAUAUUUUCUAUAUUCGUACCCUAGCUUUGAUGCUAGCUAAAGGCGGACUUAAAAGUAAUAAUAAAUGUGUUUAAAUUAUGAAUAAUUUUAAUCUGUGC